CUCAUUCGGAUCGGAGUCUGCAACCCGACUCCGUGAAGCUGGAUUCGCUAGUAAUCGCGCAUCAGCCAUGGCGCGGUGAAUACGUUCCCGGGCCUUGUACACACCGCCCGUCAAGCCAUGGAAGCCGGGGGCGCUUGAAGUGCGUUGCCGCAAGGCGCGCCCUAGAGCGAAACCGGUGACUGGGGCUAAGUCGUAACAAGGUAUC
rnacentral:rRNA from 1 species